UACGAGGGGGGCAAGUGUUGUUCGGAAUUACUGGGCGUAAAGGGAGCGUAGGCGGGUGCUUAAGUUGGAUGUUUAAAACCGGGGCCCAACCCCGGCGUGGCAUUCAAAACUGGGCAUCUUGAGUGGGACAGAGGCCAGUGGAAUUGGAGGUGUAGCGGUGAAAUGCGUAGAUAUCGGGAGGAACACCUGUGGCGAAAGCGGCGCACUGGACCAUAACUGACGCUGAGGCGCGAAAGCUAGGGGAGCAAACAGG
rnacentral:rRNA from 1 species